CGUCUUGACUUCAACAGAAAGCCGUACAGAAAAACUUCCAAACAGUGAAGCUGAGGACUGGACUGGAGCAAGAGAGCUCCAUCACAGCCACAGGAAGAUAACCUCACUGGCCUUUCUUCCUCCUCCUCCUUCCAUCUCUUCUCUCCCUCUCCCUCUCCCUCUCAUCAAACUCGCAAUCCCCACCACCGGAAACCCAAGUUUUCUAUCACCUGCUCCUUUUCCCACCCCAAAUCCAUAAGCUUCUCCAGAAUUCCCGUCGUUUCCGCUGCUAUUUUGUUCUGUUCUGCUCUGGUCGAUAUCGGUUCAAGUUGGGAACAAGAGAACUUGCUAUGUUCAAUUCAACCGAUGAUGAGUUCAUCGUUUUCCUCAGGUCGAAUCCGAUGGGAUUGCUGAGAGAACUGAGUGUAAGCCCGGCCCGCUCGAUGACUUGUUCCUCAAUUUGUUCCGCAGGAAAAUGGUCCAGGGACGGAAGAGACUGAACCCUUGCAUCCGGAAGACUAAACUCAUUGAGUUAUUUCUUGGGGGUGUUUGUGAGUACUUUAUUCCAUUAUAAAAUGAUAUAUAUAUAUAUAUAAUAUAAUAUAAUAAAUUAGGAAAAAUAGUGUGACAGGUUGCAAAUCGAGAAUUUGGUUGUUGAUAUAUUGUUUAAAAGGAUGUUGUGAUAUAUGUGAGAGUACUGGUAUUAUUGUUGGAUUAUAAUCAUGGAACCACUGGACCCGACAAAUUACGAAUUGGGCUUUGAUCGACAGCUGGACCCGAUGAAACAUAAAUAGGGGCCUGAUCGGCCACUGGACUCGGCAAUAUAAAUAGGGGUCUGAUCGGCCGCUGGACCUGGUGGAAUAUAAAUGGGGAAAUGAUCGGCCGCUAGAUCCAACGAAAUAUAAUUAGGAGGUCUGUUGGGCCCGGUGGACCCGGUAGAAUAUAAAUGAUAGUCAACUCUUACCGCCAGAUGUUAAUAGGCGGCCCCCGCUUGUGAGAUAUGGAUUAUGAGAGGAGGAGGGAAGAAGUGGGUGAUUUACUUGAAAUAUGUAGGGUUACGAUACCGUUUCAACACUAUCAUAAGGAAUGAGAUGCUAUGACUAUAUUAUUGUUGUUUGAUAUUGACUGUUGAGUUAAUUGUUUGAGAGAAUAUGCUGCUAUUGGACUUGAAUUAUUAUAGAUUAUGAAUAUAUUUGAUUAUAUAUGCAUACGAUUGAUUGCAUGUGAAUUUAUAAUAGUAUAUUAGCUCAUUUUGCUUUAGAAUAUAGUACUCACUGAAAUGCAGCUCACCCCUGCGCGCGCGCGCGCGCGCACACACACACACAUAUAUAUAUAUAUAUAUAUAUUUCAGAUGACUUAGAGGCUAGACUAGUGCAGGAGAAACUUUUGGACAUCGGGAAUCAACGUGAAGAUUUUUGGCAGCUAGAUCUGCUCCGAGUUUAGGAAGUAAGCAUAUGUAGAAUAAUGUUAAUAUGUUACGACCCAAAAAUUUUGUUUAGUUGUCCUAUGGGUGAUGUGUGACGAUCAUGUUAGAUGAUCUUUUGAGAUGGCUGGUUUUUUUUUUAAUUAUUUUGAGAUGUAUAGCAAGUUAUUGAUUAGUAUGGAAUAUUAGAAAUUAUAGGGGAAACUUUGUUGUAAAUUCGGGUCGUGGCAAAAAUGACUAAGCUUAAUAAAAGGUUGACACAUAGAAAGCUCAUCAUGAAACUUAUCUAAAAUUAUAUACUACUUUUAAUUUGCCAGUAAUCAAUUAUCAAAUUCUAUUGAAAUGUAAAAAUUAUGGAAAAAUAUACUGGUAUAAUUUUGUUAAAAUUUCUGAUGUUAUAAAAGAGUGAUUGAAUAGCGGCACCCAAGAAACGCUAUGAAAGAAUUUUCAGCUUAUUGCACUGAAAUAAUCUUAAGAAUACGGCCAAUGUUAGUUGACUAGCUGGUACACGAUAAAUGUCGGUAAUUCAGGAGUAAAUGUACUGCCUUGUAGCUCCUUAAUCAGCCGUCGAUGAUUGGAUCAUAGUAUGAAGUUCUUAUUGAUUGUUUGUUUGCUCUUGAUCGCAACAUAUUCGGAGGAUGAAAAAGAUCACAAAACAAAGGCUUUUCGAGCAUCUGUCAGCAACACUGCCGCAGACUCCAGCUCUGUAGUAGAAGCAAAUGCAGGAACAGAGGCAGGGCAGGAGUUUGUGGCGGCGUGGAAGGAAUCCAUAGCUCAUGACUGUUGUAGGAUUCCGUAGGACAAUGUGGCUCCAUCCUAGUUCGAUGGAAAAAAAAAAAAAAAAGAUUGAUCAGUAAGAGGUUCCAUUUAAUUUUGGGAGAGGGAUUCUCAGCUCAAAAUUUUGGGAUAUGAAGAGUGCAUAAUGAGAGUCUGACUGGCUCACCAAACUUGUAAUAUUUGGCUUCCAUUUGAUAAGCUAUUCGAUUUGCUAGUGCUACA